rnacentral:lncRNA from 1 species
CAAAAUAAAAACAGCUGUGAAGAGAGCCCGUGAAAAGGACAAGAGUCCUCCUCAUGCUUGCCUUUCAGCCCUCCAGCUUUUGGAGACACUCGGCCACUUCAGUUGCUUUCCCUCCCCCGCUUCCCUUUUCGGCUUGCCAGGGAACACGAUACCUGCCACCCGGCAUAGGCUUCCAUCCCCUGACGCCCAAGGAAACCACCCAGGUCCUGAUUAGGGCCGGCCCUCUGGCUCCGCACGGGUGUCUGUCAUUUCAGAUGGGCUCUGUGGCGGGACCAAUCACACAGAUGCGAGCCACAGGGAUGCCAGAGAGUCUAUUUUCAAGAGACUGGUCUGGGAGCAAGUCACAGACAAAACCAGAGAACACAACCCAUCGCCCCAGAACGCCACUUUUCAGCUCCCGAUGGGUUUGGCCUCGAUCCUCCCUGUUUUUGUGGAGUAUCCCUGAACACCUGCCAGGCGCUGGUCACUGAUGUUCUCCGGACACACGGACGCCAAAACGCCCCGCUCCAGUUCCAGCCCACUUUUCGCAUUUCCCAGUGCCCGCCGACCUCCGCUGUCUGUGAGUAGGCUAAACACGAACAACUUCUCAAAAGAAGUCCAACUGAAAGAAUUUUCACAGCCUGUCCUUAAUGCUGCCAAGAAUAUAUAUUACCAAUUUCCAGUGGAAGCUCAAAUGUCCCUUUGCAAUAACCUGGCCUC